rnacentral:rRNA from 1 species
AUUGAACGCUGGCGGCAUGCCUUACACAUGCAAGUCGAACGGUAACGCGGGGCAACCUGGCGACGAGUGGCGAACGGGUGAGUAAUGCAUCGGAACGUGCCCAGUAGUGGGGGAUAGCCCGGCGAAAGCCGGAUUAAUACCGCAUACGACCUACGGGUGAAAGGGGGGGAUCGCAAGACCUCUCGCUAUUGGAGCGGCCGAUGUCAGAUUAGGUAGUUGGUGGGGUAAAGGCCUACCAAGCCGACGAUCUGUAGCUGGUCUGAGAGGACGACCAGCCACACUGGGACUGAGACACGGCCCAGACUCCUACGGGAGGCAGCAGUGGGGAAUUUUGGACAAUGGGCGCAAGCCUGAUCCAGCAAUGCCGCGUGCAGGAAGAAGGCCUUCGGGUUGUAAACUGCUUUUGUCAGGGAAGAAAUCUUCUGGGCUAAUACCCCGGGAGGAUGACGGUACCUGAAGAAUAAGCACCGGCUAACUACGUGCCAGCAGCCGCCGUAAUAC